CCCAGAGUCCAUCACAGCAUGAGUCAGGACUGCCUGUAACCUGUCUGGUUUGGCUGAGGCAGUAUUUUUUGGCUUCUUCCAGCCUGCCAGAGUUGAUAGCGUCAAUUGAAGACCUGAGAGCAGAAAUGAUCAGAACCCAUAUGCAUCCGCGUCCUUACAAACCAGGUGCUGGUGCUGAGAGAACUUCAGAGGGUUAUGGAUUACAAAAAGGGAGAAGAUCACUCUGCAGACAUGGUGCUUUGCCAUCCUGUUGUUUCUGCUCAUUCUGGCACCUUUGGUUAAUCUGGAAAAACGGCUGCUGAAUGGAAGCAGUGCUAGGUGAAGCUGGCUGUGGAAGGAGAAGUGAAAACCCAGCUCCACCAGAAAAAGCUGAGAAAUUAAUGAGAAUUACAAUAGGAACUGAUAUCAGCACUGUUGGCAGCUGUGCAGCAUUGAAGAGUGCACGCAGGAUUCAGAUAUGUUGGCAGAAGCAAGAACAAACAACACUGCCACUCAGCAAUUGGUUGAAGAUACUGUCACCACCAGUCAACACCAACUGCACAGAGGAAGGCCGCAGAUGAUGUGUUUUCCAGUUCUGUUGCCCAAAUAAA